GACGGAGGGUGCUAGCGUUGUUCGGAAUGACUGGGCGUAAAGGGCUCGUAGGCGGCCAACUAAGUCGGACGUGAAAUCCCUCAGCUUAACUGGGGAACUGCGUCCGAUACUGGAUGGCUUGGAUUUGGGAGAGGGAUGCGGAAUUCCAGGUGUAGCGGUGAAAUGCGUAGAUAUCUGGAGGAACACCGGUGGCGAAGGCGGCAUCCUGGACCAAUAUUGACGCUGAGGAGCGAAAGCCAGGGGAGCAAACGGG
rnacentral:rRNA from 1 species